rnacentral:rRNA from 1 species
AUGCACGCUGGCGGCGUGCCUAAUACCUGCAAGUCGAGCGAACAGACGAGGAGCUUGCUCCUCUGACGUUAGCGGCGGACGGGUGAGUAACACGUGGAUAACCUACCUAUAAGACUGGGAUAACUUCGGGAAACCGGAGCUAAUACCGGAUAAUAUAUUGAACCGCAUGGUUCAAUAGUGAAAGACGGUUUUGCUGCCACUUAUAGAUGGAUCCGCGCCGCAUUAGCUAGUUGGUAAGGUAACGGCUUACCAAGGCAACGAUGCGUAGCCGACCUGAGAGGGUGAUCGGCCACACUGGAACUGAGACACGGUCCAGACUCCUACGGGAGGCAGCAGUAGGGAAUCUUCCGCAAUGGGCGAAAGCCUGACGGAGCAACGCCGCGUGAGUGAUGAAGGUCUUCGGAUCGUAAAACUCUGUUAUUAGGGAAGAACAAAUGUGUAAGUAACUAUGCACGUCUUGACGGUACCUAAUCAGAAAGCCACGGCUAACUACGUG